rnacentral:rRNA from 1 species
GACGAACGCUGGCGGCGUGCUUAACACAUGCAAGUCGAACGGAAAGGCCCUGCUUUUGUGGGGUGCUCGAGUGGCGAACGGGUGAGUAACACGUGAGUAACCUGCCCUUGACUUUGGGAUAACUUCAGGAAACUGGGGCUAAUACCGGAUAGGAGCUCCUGCUGCAUGGUGGGGGUUGGAAAGUUUCGGCGGUUGGGGAUGGACUCGCGGCUUAUCAGCUUGUUGGUGGGGUAGUGGCUUACCAAGGCUUUGACGGGUAGCCGGCCUGAGAGGGUGACCGGCCACAUUGGGACUGAGAUACGGCCCGGACUCCUACGGGAGGCAGCAGUGGGGAAUAUAGCACAAUGGGCGGAAGCCUGAUGCAGCAACGCCGCGUGCGGGAUGACGGCCUUCGGGUUGUAAACCGCUUUCGCCUGUGACGAAGCGUGAGUGACGGUAAUGGGUAAAGAAGCACCGGCUAACUACGUG